rnacentral:tRNA from 1 species
GUGGGUAUAGCUCAAUUGGUUAGAGCGCCAGACUGUGGAUCUGGAGGCUGAGGGUUCAAGUCCCUCUACCCACC